UUCCAAUUGCAACUGUGUGUAGUAUUUUCUCCCGAUUAUCAGGGAGCGUUUGAAGGAUGCAACUGGGGUGGCGGGGCGGGCGCCGGCGGGGGCCGUGCGCGGCCCAGUCGAGCCGUGGCCACCGCGCACCACGCACGUCGGUGCCGCGCCAGGAACUACAAAUGAGUGCUCCGCGAGACCAAACGCGAACCCCGUGCACCACGACACGACCGGCCAGAGACUGUUGACUGUGUUGCACUAUAGUUCACGUUAAUUAAUCGCCUAGGAUAAGAGUGUUUCGAACUGUACCGGUUUGUGGCUAAUAUGUUCGAGUGUUGAUGUCUGACUGAGCGACUGGACUGGAAAGUAGCGAGUUCGAAUCCUUGCAGCUGACUUCACACGAAGCGUCUGACCGACUAAAUUCAGAAACUAAACUUUUGGAGACAUCGCUAAACUAAGGCGCGGAGAUGUCG